rnacentral:rRNA from 1 species
UACAGAGGGUGCAAGCGUUAAUCGGAGUUACUGGGCGUAAAGGGCGCGUAGGCGGUUAUUUAAGUGAGUUGUGAAAUCCCUGGGCUUAACCUAGGAACUGCAACUUAUACUGGAUAGCUGGAGUACUGUAGAGGGUAGUGGAAUUUCCGGUGUAGCGGUGAAAUGCGUAGAGAUCGGAAGGAACACCAGUGGCGAAGGCGGCUACCUGGACAGAUACUGACGCUGAGGCACGAGAGCGUGGGGAGCAAACAGG